AGUGGCCCCAGAUCAUUCCUGGACCCCCGAGGGCCUCUGAGUUUGAGACGCUGGCUGAGAUCAAAUGAUAAGAAUUCCAAUUUUUGUUUUCCUAAGUCUUUCAUCUGCUAAUCUACCCAACAUGAACCACGGGCCACAUGAAGGGCCAGACACAUUCUUAAGCGGCUCACAGCCUAGAGGUGCACAUCUGUGAUUACAAUGUGCAAGGUAAAACUGGAUCAACAGUUUCCAAGGACUGGCAUGUAAUAAAAUAUCCUCAAAACAACAAGCAAGUUGGGCGUGACUUAGACUUUCACUGCCCAUGUAGAAGGCACUGUACAUUCUUGCAGCAUCUCAGUUGGCCAGCAAGAGGUGAGUCAGAAAAAAACCAUUCAGCAGCCACAUGGAAGUGGGGCUCACUGGGCACAAGGCAAAACUGUGAAGAAGAUAAAGUGUCUGUGGUUCUGCAUUGACUCUAUUCCCUGGAGUCCUCCCCUCUCGAGUUCCUAGAAUUAUGUUAUCACUCUUGCUCUAUCUCAUUCCUAUCAAGACCUGUUUUAGAAAUGGGUGCCACAGACUCAGUUACAUUCAAAUGUAAACCCAUUCAUUCAUUUAGCAAGUUACUUAUUAGUGCCAGUGCUGUGUCAGGUUCUACAUUAGGUACCAGAGUACAGUGAUGAGCAAAACCAGUCCCUGCCCUUCUGGAACAGAGAAGACUGGAAGAGGAUGGGGGUAGCCAUUAAUCAAACAGUCACAGAAAUGAGUGCAAAAUGUAGCUGGAGUAAGGGCUUCCAUGGUGAGGCACUUGGUGCAGGGAUCUCUGGAUCUGACCAAAUCAGGAGGUCAGGAAAGGCUUCCAGGAGGAAGUGACACUGUGCCCAGAGCUCAGGGAUGGAAGAAGGAUGCUCCUUCUGGGCAGAGAGUAAGGAGAGAAGAUUGGUGGGAAGGAGGGCAGGGGCCAGAUGCCGUGGGUGUGAUUUGGAUCUGUGUCCCUGCCAAUCACAUGUUGAAUUGUAGUCCCCAGUGUUGGAGGUGGAGCCUGGUGGGACAUGAUUGGAUCAUGGGGGUAGUUUUUCAUGAACGGUUUAGUACCAACCACUUGGUGCUGUUCUAGUGAGUUGAGUGCAUUCUCGCGAGAUCUGGUUGUUUAAAAGUGUGUAGCACCCUUCCCUCUUGCUCCUGCUCCUCCAAUGUGAGACUCCUUGCUUUCCCUCUGUUUUCCACCAUGAUUGGAAGCUUCCUGAGGCCUCACCAGAGGCAGAUGCCAGCAUCAUGCUUCCUGUGCAGCCUGCAGAACUGUGAGCCAAUUAAACCUCUUUUCGUUAUAAACUACCCAGUCUCAGGUAUUUCUUCACAGCAGUGUGGGAAUGGCCUAAUACAGAUGCUUCCGGGACUUAGAUCUUCUUUUUCUAGGAGCAAUGUGAAGCCGUUGAAGAGUUUAAGUUUUAGGGUGUGAGAGGGGAGGAGUGAAUGAAAUGAUCAGACUUACAGUGGAAAGAGAUCAUGCUGGUUAUUAUAUGGAGAAGGGAUUGGGGGAGGCAAGAGGAAACCCGAGCAGAGGCUUUGGGAGGCUUGGCACACCUGGUAAGAAAUGGUGGAGGCUUGGGCGAGGCUGUGGCAGUGAUGUGCAAGCUCUUAGGAAGUCAGGUAGCAUAUGUGAAUGGACAGGAAGAAGCAGGUGUACAGGAUAUCUCCUUAGGUUUUCUAACUCAUGCAACUAGAUGGAUGGGAAUGCUGUUCACUGAGGCAGGCACACUGCAAGAGAACCAGCGUGUUUGUGAAGGAAGAGUGGAAGAAAACCAUGAAUUUGAAUUUGGAUCUGUUACAUCAGAAUGCUCCUGAGACAUAUGAAUGAAGCUGUCAUGUAGGCAGCAGGAUACAUUUAGCUCAGUGGAGAGGAGAGGACUAGGCCAGUGAUAGAAAUCUGAGACUAGUCUGCAAUAUAGACAAUAUUUGAAGCCAUGAGUAUGGAGAGAGUAGAGAAUGGGAAGAGGCGAGGGCUUAGGAUGGAACUUUGCCGAAUUCCAGUAUUUAAUGCAUGGACUAAGGAGGAUGACCCUGCCAUGGAUUCUGGGGAGGGGAGUUCUUGGAGGUAGGAUGAGGACUAAAAUGUCAUAUCAUGGAAGCAACGUAAUGGGAAAGAAAAUAUAGUAACUAAUGCUAAGGCUUUCUGAAGUGGAGUCGAAGGUUGCAAGAGGAUCGCACUCACACCUGCUGAAGGUCAAACCCAGGGGAUGUUCCAAUAGACUCGGUCAAACAACUGAAGUCAGCAUCUGCUGGCCUUCAACACCUCAGCUGAGAGUACUCUCAUUAACUAACCAAUCACAACGGCUUUGUGAUUUAGGAUUUCUGCCUGGCCAAUGAACUACUUCCGAAAAUAACUUUUUAUGACAAUCCUCUAUUUUAAAAAUUCUCUCCUGCAGCCUGCCUUAUAGGGCACUCUUCAGGGCUGCCCUGAUCCGGUGUACCCCAGCUGCCAUUUUUGCUUCCCAAAUAAGUGCCUUUGACCUGCAUGUCAAUCUUUUCGUUAACAGUAAGAUGAUAGGUAUGGCCCACAAAGAGUUCUGAGAGCUGCUGUAAGGUUAGAUGAGGCCUGAAAAAAAUGCCCACUGGGUUUAGCACCAUGGAGGCUGUUACUGACAACACCUAGAGCCCCUUCAGUGGCGUGGCAGGAAGAGAAGCCAGAUUGGAGAGGGCUGAGGACAGGGGUGGAAAAAUGGAUGCACCGAAGCUGGAGGACUUAGCCACGAAGCCUGGCUUUGAAGCGGGUGAGAGAAGUAGAAGUGAAGGAGGCUGUGGUGGAAUUUUAUUUUAUUUAUUUUAUUUUAUUAUUUUUUUUUUUUCAGAGAUGGGGCCUCACUCUGGUCACCCAAGCUGGAGUGCAGUGGCACCACCUUGGCUCACUGCAGCCUCAACCUCUCGGACUCAAGUAAUCCUCUCACCUCAGCCUCCUGAGCAGCUGGGACUAUAGGCAUGCACCACCAUACCUAGCUAAUUUUUAAUUUUUGGUAGAGACGAGGUCUUUCUGUGUUGCCCAGGCCAGUCUCAAACUCCUGGGUUCAAGCUGUCCUCCUGCCUUGGCCUCCCAAAGUGCUGGGAUUACUGUUAUAAGCUACCACACCUGGCCAAAUUGUAUCGUAUUUUUUUCUCAGAUGAGGGCUCACUCUGUGGCCCAGGCUGGAGUGCAGUGGUGCAAACUCGGCUCACUGCAACCUCUGCCUCCCAGGUUCAAGUGAUUCUCCUGCCUCAGCCUCCCGAGUAGCUGGGAUUACAGGCACAUGCCACCACACCAGCUAAUUUUUGUAUUUUUAGUAGAGAUGGGGUUUCACCAUGUUGGCCAGGCUGGUCUCGAACUCCUGACCUCAGGUGAUCCACCCACCCUCAGCCUCCCAAAGUGCUGGGAUUACAGGUGUGAGCCACCACACCCAGCCCAAAUUUUAUUUUUUUAAUGGAUGAAAAUGGGGCAUGUUUAAUGGAAAUAAUCCAGAUUAGAUGGUGGGGGGUGGAGGGAGAAGCUGAAUAUAUAAAAAGGGAAAGGCCCAAUUGGUAGUGCAUGAGUCCUGAGAAGGUAGGAGGGCUUGGGAUCCAAGGGAUGGAGGUAGCAUUAUUUUUGAGUGGAAGAAGAACAGCUCUUUACUGGGACAGCAGGGAAGCAGGACAGAGUGGGUUGCAUGUAGAUUUGCAAUGUUCCGUAUUGGAAUUAUAGAAGAGUUCCCAAUUGAUAGCUUUUGCUUAUUCUUUCAAGUUGAGAUACACUGAAGAUGACUUAUUUUAGUUUAAAAUUUUACCAUUCACUGGGAGAUUUGUCUUUGAUCAGAGACAAAUUCACAAACCCAAAGCAUAAAGCUCCAGCUUUGGAAUUCUAGUCAUCAAAAUUUUCGGGGGACACCCAGGGCAUCUUGCCAUCUUCACCAAGCAAAGCAGCCAUCUGCUUGGCUCAUUUUAUGAUCGAUGUACCUGGUGCAUCUCUUAAGUACUGGUUAACAUAGAAAGCUGAGCAGCAGAGCACGACGACGUGGUCACCUGUAUGAAUCAUCCCAAGGAGCUGCUAACUCCAAGAAUCAAAGUCAAGAUGCCUCCUGAAUAUACUGUAUCUCCUUUGCUCCCACCUUGCCAGUAGAUUUAACUAGUUGUAUCUGAUUAAAACUAACAUUAAAUUAAACAAAAUUCCUGACUGUAUAUCUAAACGUGAUCACUUUGCUAGGUGUCAAAGGCAAUGAUUUUUGGAGAUAAAUUUUUACAUAAAAUGAAUCAUCCAAAAUUAAAUGUUUAAUGUACUUUCAAGGGAUCUUAAGUAGCUUUGCUACUAUAUAUGUGACCCUGGUUUAUAAAAUAUGUCUGAGCAGCAAAAUGGUUUCCAUGCCUCAAAUGGUUUUUUCUUUACCAUGGACUAUGGCUAAAUGAUUCAGUGAACUGAAAAAAUCUCUGGGUUCCUGUUUAAAUGCCACAUGCUAUCAAGUGCUGUAUGUGAGCCUUCUAUUUUCUUUAAAAAUUUAAGAAUGGAUCUUGCCUUUUUUUUUUUUUCAGUCUGAACAAUGCUGUCUCUACUGGUGACCAUAAGAAAUAAUCAAAUAAAUUGAAGUUUUCUUUUUGCAUGGAAAGACUGAAAAAAAAAAAAAAAAAAAAAAACACUAAAAGCCCAAAAUAAAGGACACUUCAGUUUUGACCUUGGAAAAAGAAGACUGGUAGAGAAUGUAGUGGCAAGAUGCUUUAAAUGUAUGCAGAGCAGGCAGCAUUGUCUUUGCACAUUACAGCAUCUCCCUAGAGAAGUGACAAAACCCUUGUAGGUUUUGUUGGUCUGACUUGUUGAGGCUGACAGAGAUUAGUUGUGCUGCACAGAGCUAAUGGGCUUUCUGCCGUUUCCAGAACACCAAGGUCACAGCUUUCAUUAGCAUUUACAACUGCUUAUUGUUUUGAGGGCCUUGAUUUUAAAGUCUGGAUCUCUGAAACUGUAUCUGCAUUUCAGGACAAAGGAAAAACAGAAUUAACUUGGGUUUUCUGCAACUCAGCACCAGAGAAAGGUAACUGCAUUUUCAGACAGAUGGAAAGAGGAAAUGCAAAAGUCCUCACAGAGAAUGACAGAAAAUAAGAUCCUCUCUCCAAAAGUAGGAGGAGAUGGGGUUUUCUAACAGGUAUCCAGAAGUGUAGAUGGGCUUGGUGGGAUCAGGGGAAAGGGAGAAGCACUGAAUUCUAUCCCCUCUACAUCCUUUGGAAACUUCCUCCUGAGAACCUAUGAGUUCCAUGAGGAUUGGGGCAUUUCUGUCUGGCCUUGGUUAUUACUACAUCCCCAGUUCCUAAGAGAGCAUAGAGAGCAUAAUAGAUGCUCAUUUAGUAACUAUUUAACCCAGAUCCCACCAGUUCAGAUGCCACACAUGCUCCUUGGAUGAUCUCAUCAACACUCAUGACUUCCAAUAGCAUCAAUAUGCUGAUGAUUCCAAAAUCUAAACCUCCAGUCAUAUUUUUGAGUUCCUGGCCACCUUUCUAACUGCUGUCUUGUACUCCUAUGGGCCAUCAGACUUAAAGGGUCCCAAAUGAAUUAACUCAUCUUCUUCCCCCAUACAUCUUCCUCUCCAAGUGGUCUUGUAUGGAGUCCUAGUGAGAUGCCCAGGCCAUGAAACUGGGAAUCAUCCUGUCUGAACUUCACUCUUGAUGGCCAAUCAACCACCAAGAGUCCUAUAUCCAAACCAUCUCUGAUUCCAUCUACCACCACCUUGGGGAAGCAGUCCAUCAGCAUCUCUCCCAGUUGCUGCCAGCCUAUCCCACUCUGGUCCUCCUCCAGCCCAUACAGAAUGAUCUUUCUAAGGGACCGAUCUGAUCACACCACUCUGUGCUUGAAAAGUAAGUAUGCCUUUACAGUGCUCACAGGACAGAGUCAAAACACUCAGUGUUCUGAAAGAUUCUUCAUGAUCUGGCUACCUGCCUGUCAAGAAUCUGCCCAUUCUGUCCUUCACCCAGAAUGAUCUCUUCUUGGUUCCUUCCAGAUUUGCAUGCCCUUCCUCAUAGCCUUACCAUUCUUUUCCUUCCUCUUUGUCUGUCUAACUGACAAUAAUCCCUAACGUUACAGCUUAAAGCUUCAGUAUCACUUCCUCUGUCUGCAAAUCUCUUGGUUUAGGUGUCCUACAGUGUGCAACAAUAUUCCUGCAUGUUCCAUACCCCAGUGCUUGUUUUACUUUCUUUUAUUGCCUGUCCUAUUCACCAGACAACAAGGCUUACACUCUGUGAGGCCAGGGCCACCUCUGCCUCACUUAGACAACCAGGGAUAGCUUCCUGUCCAUAGAAUCUGAGCAGGUGCACAGAACACCCUCCUACUCCACCCCUGCACAGAAGGGCUUCCUGCUUGGGGUUUAAUGCUCUGUUGCCAUUUCAAACUUUUCAAUAUUUUUUUAUCUUUUGAACAAGGAACCUCUCACUUGUUCACCAUGACAUCUGCAGAGCCUAGCACAGAGUCUGGUAACUGGAGAUGCUUAAUGUUUGUGAAAUAAUUAAAUGGAUGCUACUUGGUGACUUUUCCUUACCUUUAACCUUUACCUCUUUCUUGGUUCUUUCCUUAGGGCAAACAACUGUAUUCUCCAUUAGAAAUAAAACUCUUUAAAACAACAACAAACGAACAAAGCUGUCCUCCUACGCCAGCCUCUUCCUCCAGCUCACCCCUCUCACCUGUCUGCUCUUGGCUGCCAGACCUCUCGAAAGGGUGGUCCAGGCUCGAGGUCUCAGUAACUCUCCAGUCUGGCUUCUGUUCACACAGCUUUACUGUGCUGGUUCUCAGCAUGGGUGAUUUUGCCUCCUAGGAUGCAUUUGGUAAUGUCUGAAGUUAUUUUUGGUUGUUGCGAUUGAGAGGGUGCUGUUGGCAUCCGGUAGAUAGAGGCCAGGGUGCUAAACAUCUUCCAAUGCAUGGGACAGCCCCCACCACAAAGAUCAUUCAGUCCAAAGCAUCAACAGUGCUUAGGUUGAGAAGCCUUGCUCUACUGAAUCAAUUCUUGAUAAGGUCAUCGAUGAUUCAAUUGUCUAAUCCAGUGGCCUUUUGGAGCCCUUAUUUUACUAAACCUUUCUCUAUUAUAUGAUACCUUUGACUAAUAGUCUCAUAUUUCUCUCUUAAUAUUUCCUAAUUCCUGCUACUCAGCAGAUCUCAGGUGUGAUAAAAGCCCAGGGGUGCCCUAUCCUUCAGAGUGGCUUUGGGCAGUAUGAUGCAUGCCAGUCACCAGCUUGGGUCAGCCUGCUGUUUAACAAGUGUGAGAUCUUGAAUGAGACGGCAUUCCUCUCUAAGCCUCAGCUUUUUCAUCUCUGUGCGAUGGAACAAAGAGAAUACUUUAACUGCCAGUCCUGGUCAAAAUUCUUAGUAUUUUAGUGCUAAGAAGGGGCAGAGGAGAAGUUGGGAGGCGGGGAGGACAUAGCUUGGUUGUUUUACUCCUCUGCUACCAGCCUUCCACCGCCUGACAUUGCGCUAAGAAUAAUGCUUGAAUUCACUCCACACCACAGCCUGGCCACAAUGCCUCAUUUACCUUCACUCCCUUAUUCACAGUAGGACAACCCAGUAGCACAUUCACAGUUUAGGGAAGCUGAGAUGCCUCCUCUGAUUCUACCAGGCAGAGGUAGUAGUUCUGUCUAUGGAGUUCCCCAUCUUGACGAUGGCCUUAUCCAUUACAUUGGUGAUACCUGCGUACAUGAAGAUCUUCUCAGUUGGACGAUGAAUGCUCCAAAACCACCAAUUACAUCUUAUUUAUCUCUGUGUUCUUAGUACUUAGUACAGCAGCUGGCACAUAAUAGGGGCUCAUUUGAUUUUUUAUGUUAAACAAAUUAAUAAUCUCUCGCCCCUGGAGUUGUGCCCAUGGGAUGAAUGAGAAUGCUGGGCGUAUGGGAAGGCAUUCCUGCCACAGAAGAGGGGCUGCUGGGAGGGCUGAACAGCAGUUUUGCUUUUAUUCCUCAGUACUAUGCCCUUUUCUCUCUGCAAACUGAGCAGAACAACUCUUAAUACUAUUGAUCCGCACGCCCAGCUCUUCCCAGGCAUUUCCAUCAAUGAUUUUCAAAUUUCUGUCAUUCCCCUUAAGCUAAGAACAGUUAGCCUGGCUAGAGGAGAGAGCACAGAGGGGGGAAGAUGAACUGGGGCCCUGAGGCCCGCAUCCUGGCCUGCCUGCACCACUCAUCAGAAGGUCCCUUGAGCACAUGACAUCUCCUUACCCCUCCAUGCCCAAUUUCACUAUAUGACAAAUGGUCAUAAUGACAUCUAGCCCGCCUGCUGUGUAGGACUGUCAGGAGGAUCAAAGGAGAAUUAGAUGUGAAAGUCCCUUUUAAAAAUAAGUACAAAGCAUGAAAUACUAUUUUUGGUAACUUGAAAAAAAUCCCUUACCUGAAAUAGAUAAACAGGUUACGCUUAAAAGAAUAUUUUUGGCUUUAUUCUCUGGAGGCUAUGACCCCAGUGCAAUGGCCUGUGGCUAAGAUGAGACACUGAGAUAAUAACCCAAAAAAGUAUUGUAAUAUUGCUGGUCAUGUUGAGUGGAAAUCACUUUUGGAGUAAUGAUGGGACUGUGUGUAUUACUAGGCAUCAAAUCCAUUGAAAAACAAAACAGUGAGACGGUUGAGAGCCUGCACAGUGAACAUUUUCAGUAUUAUUAGGAUUAUUGGACAUAAACCCCAUGUCAGGAUGAUUCCACUUUGAAAGAGUAUCUGAGUUGUUAUAACAGAAAUUAAGGUAGUUAAUUACAACAGAAAUUAAGACAGUCAUUUCAACAAGGCUAUUUUUACAAGAAGAAUCCAUCAAAAUGAGUGCCAAAACAUUGUGAUGCCAAAAAGCUAGGAAAUACAGAAUAAAAGACAAAUGUCCAGUGCUCCACCACUUUAAAGUGACUCAGGAGAUUUGGUCACCUUUAGCUUAACUCCUCCAACCAUCCCUGCGUGUAUUAUGUGCCAGAAAUUGGGCUAGGCUUUCAGUUAGAGCUAUAUAUAAAAACAACAUCAGCAAGAAUGACCACGCACAGAUGAUUUAAAAAGCUCUGCCAUCAAAUAUAGACCAUGUUUUAUCUUUUGCUAUUAGCUUCUCCUCACACCUUAAAAACUAAAAUUUAGCCUUUGCUUUUCCCUGCUCCUUUCCAAUAAAGAGCUCUACCAGGUACCUUUGGCAAAAAAUGAACCUUCUUUCUAGGAGCACAAAGCAUUUUUUAAGUAACCCUCUGUCAGAGUCUUCAAGAAGCUUAACAUGAUCUGAUCAAAGGAAAAGACUGAGAUUGAGGCAAAACUGGUGCAGGGCCACCACUGCCAAUCAUCACCCUUCACGAGACUAGUGGGAACAAAAACCACACUGAACUUAUAACUUCAAGCCCAUUGCUGGUCCUCUUGCUACAGCAUUUUGUCUCUUUUCCUGAUCUCUGCCGCUUGCCAUGGUUUCUAUGUCAGUGGUUCUCAUUCCCGUAGCACCUUAGAAUAACCUGUGUUACCUUAAACCUGGGCCACAUUCUUAACCAAUUAAAUCAGAAUGUAUGAAAGUAGAGCUUAAGCACUGUUUUUUUUUUUUCUUUUUUUAAGACGGUGUCUCUCUCUGUCGCCGAGGCUGGAGUGCAGUGGCGCGAUCUCAGCUCACUACAACCUCCGCCUCCCAGGUUCAAGCAAUCCUCCUGCCUCCCCCCUAGAAGCUGGAAUUACAGGCACGCGCCACCAUGCCCAGCUAAUUUUUGUAUUUUUAGUAGAGACGGGGUUUCAUCAUGUUGGCCAGGCUGGUCUCGAACUCCUGACCUCAGGUGAUCCAUCCACCUCGGGCUUCCAAAGUGCUAGGAUUACAGGCAUGAGCCACUGCUCCCAGCCUGUUGUAUUUUUUUGUUUGUUUGUUUAAGCUUUGCAGGUAAUUCAAACCUGCACUGAGGAUUGUGAAGAAUCCCAGGUCAGUGCUUCUCACAGCGUGGUCCCCAGCGUCAGCAUCACCUGGGUGCUCUCUAACCUGCAAACCACUGGGCUCCGGAGCUACUGAAUCAGAAGGUCUGAGAGUGGGGCACAGCCAUCUGUGCUGGUUUUACAAGCUCUCUCCAGGAGAUGCACGUGCAUGCUAAAGUUUGAGAACAACAGCUCUAGAUGCUGUCAUAAAAGGUUGAAGGAGGCUGCUUCAAUAGGUGGGUGGACAUGCAAGCAGGUAAGGUUAGAGAGAUGUGAAGAUGUGGAGACAGCCUGCAUAUGACUCUACUGACAAGACAGAGGUCACUGAGCAAUAAGGAAAGAAAUAGCAUGCGCAAAGUGUCAGCCUCCAUCUACAAGGGAAAACGUGAGAUUUGUGUUCUAUCCUGUGGAAGUAAGAAGAUCCCAGAGGAGUCAAGAGCUGUGAUUUAGACCAAUGGGUUUAACCUUUAUUUAUUUUAUUUUAUUUCCAUUUUACUUAAUUCAAUAUGAUUUAAGAUAUAUCUGAUGAACGUUUUCCAGAUAAGGUGCUGGAUGGGUGGGAAUUAGAAAGAUGAUUAUGAUGUAUAAUAAAACUCUAUGAAGUUAGGGAUUGAUAUGGUUUGGAUCUGUGUCCCCACCCAAAUCUCAUGUUCAAUUGUAAUACCCAGUGUUGGAGGUGCAGCCUGGUGGGAGGUGACUGGAUCAUGGGGGUGGUUUCUCAUGAAUGGUUUAGGACCAUUCCCUUGGUGCUGUUCUCCUGAUAGUGAAUGAGUUCUCAUGAGAUCUGGUUGUUGAAAAGUGUGUGGCACCUCCUCCUCUCUCUCUUGCUCCUGCUCCUGCCAUGUCAGAUGCCUCACUCCCCCUUUGUUUUCUGCCAUGAUUGGCAGCUUCCUGAGGACUCCCCAGAAGCAGAAGCUGCUAGGUUUCUUGUACAGCCUGCAGAACCAGGAGCCAAUUCAAUCUCUUUUCUUUAAAAAUUACCCAGUCUCAGGUAUUUCUUUGUAGCAGUUCGAGAAAAGGCUAAUACAGAAAUUUGAAACUGAGGAGUAGGGUAUUGCUAUAAAGAUACCUGGAUAUGUGGAAGUGACUUUGGAACUGGGUAAUGGACAGAGAUUGGAAGAGUGUGUAGGGCUCAGAAGAAGAGAGGAAGAUGACGGAACAUUUGGAACUUCCUAGAGACUGGUUGAAUGGCUUGUGACCAAAAUGCUCAAAGUGAUAUGGACAGUGAAGGCCAGGAUGAUGAAAUCUCAAAUGGAAAUGAGGAACUUAUUGGGAACUGGGGCAAAGGUCACUUCUGUUAUGCUUUAGUAAAGAACUUGGCUGCACUGUGCCUCUGCCCUAGGGAUCUGUGGAACUUUGAACUUGAGAGUGAUGAUUUAGAGUAUCUGGCAGAAGAAAUUUCUAAGCAGCCAAAUUCAAAAUGUAGCCUGGCUGCUUCUAAUGAUAUAUGCUGACAUGCAUGAGCAAAAAGAUGACCUAAAACUGGAACUUACAUUUAAAGGGGAAACAGGGUAAAAGUGGAAACUUUGCAGCCUGGCCAUUUGGUAGAAAAGAAAAGCCCAUUUUCAGGGGAGGAAUUCAAGUAGGCUGCAGAAAUUUGCAUAAGUAAAAAGGAGCUAAGUGCUAAUAGCCAAGACAAUGGGGAAAAGACCUGGAAGCCACUUCAGAGACCUUCACAGCAGCUCCUCCCAUCACAGGCCCAGAGGCCUAGGAAGGAAGAAUGGUUUCAUGGGCCAGGCCUAGGGCCCCGCUGCCCUGUGCAGCCUUGGGACACUGCUCCCCGCAUCUCAGUCACUCUAGCUCUAGCCAUGGCUCAAAGGGGCCCAGGUGCAGCUCAGGCUGCUGCUUCAGAGGGUGCAAACUGUACGCCUUGGUGGCUUCCAUAUUGUAGUAAGGCUGUGGGUGUUCAGAGUACAAGAGUUGAGGCCUAGACUUUAGAGUAUGUAUGGAAAAGCCUGGGUGUCCAGGCAGAAGCCUGCUGCAGGGGCAGAGCCCUCAUGGAGAACCUCUGCUAAGGCAGCGCAGAGGGAAAAUGUGGGGUUGGAGCCCCCCCCACAGAGUCCCCACUGGGGCACUGCCUAGUGGAGCUGUAAGAAGAGGGCCACUGUCCUCUAGGCCCCAGAAGAUCCACUGGCAGCUUGCACCCUGUACCGAGAAAAGCCACAGGCACUCAACAUCAGUCCAUGAGAGCAGCUGUGGAGGCUAAACCCUGAAAAGCCACAGAGGCAGCACUGGCCAACGCUUUGGGUGCCCACCAUCCACACCAGUGUGGCUGGGAUGUGGGACAUGGAGUCAAAAGAGAUUUAGGAGCAUUAAGAUUUAAUGACUGCCCUGCUAGGUUUAGGACUUACAUGGGGCCUGUAGCCCCUUUCUUUUGGCUGAUAUCUCCCUUUUUGAAUGGAAGUAUUUACCCAAUGCCUAUACCCCCAUGUAUCUUGGAAAUAACUAACUUGUUUUUGAUUUUACAGGUUCAUAGGCAGAAGGGACUAGCCUUGUCUCAGAUAAGACUUUUGAGUUAAUGUUGGAAUGAGUGAAGACUGGGGAUUGGUGGGAAGGAAUGAUUUUAUUUUGCAAUAUGAGAAGGACAUGAGAUUUGGGAGGCGCCAGGGGCAGAAUGAUAUGGUUUGGAUCUGUGUCCCUACCCAAAUCUCAUGUUCAAUUGUAAUACCCAGUGUUGGAGGUGGGACCUGGUGGGAGGUGAUUGAAUGAUGGGAGCAGUUUCUCAUGAAUGGGUUAGCACCUUCCCCUUGGUGUUGUUCUCCUGAUAGUGAAUGAGUUCUCAUGAGAUCUGGUUGUUUAAAAGUGUGUGGCAUCUUCCCCUCACUGCCUCUUGCUCCUGUUCCUAGCAUGUAUGACACAUUGCAGCCACUUUGUUUCCUGCCAUGAUUGGAAAUUUCCUGAGGCCUCCCCAGAAGCAGAAGCCGCUAUGUUUCCUGCGCAACCUGCAGAAUUAGAAGCCAAUUAAACCUCUUUUCUUUGUAAAUUACCCAGUCUCAAGCAUUUCUUUAUAGCAGUGCAGGAAUGGACUAAUACAGAGAUGUGUUGCUUUCCUGCCUUGGGGAGCUAAGAGGUGGGUCUUUCUCAGUUCAGAAUUUAUGUCCUCUCUUAACUUGUUGCAUAUAAGAAUUUCCUAUCUAUAAUGUCUUUAUAUAAAAAUAGAUAAGUAGUCUAUUGCUUUCUUGGCUCUUAUGGAAGAUGCAACUAACAGUAAUCUACAUGAGUCACACUGAAAAACAGGUACAGUUCAUUUGUCAACUCUGGUUGGUUGGUAAAGGCAGCCUGGAGCUCUGUGUUGAGAAGGAUUCUGAAGCCUGCCCACACCUUUAUAAUUAGUUCUGUUGUAAAUAAACCCUCCUCAGGUUAUCAUAAUUAGGAGCCAUCUGUUUCCUGCUGGAACCUUGACUGAUGGGAAGAUCAUGAUAGAGAACGUCUUCCUUUUUGAUGAAGGUAUUCAGAUUUGGGACACUAUGGAUAUCCAAAGAGGAAGGAGACACUUGCUUUGAUAGUCAUAUAACCACAUCAAUCCUGGUGAUCAACAGUGACAGAUAAUGGCAAUCAGAUUAGAUGACCUUUGCACCAUUUCUCUUUAAGGAUAGAGAGUUACACUGGGCCCAAUACUCCAACUAAGAGGACUAAGCCAAAAAAUAUUCAGAUGACUUAUAAAUAACAAUUUUCCAUGUCACAAAAAUACAUAACCUCUAAUGUUUGCAAAUUACCUCAAUUAAUUCUGGGAUACCCCAGUUGGUUUUUUUUUAAAUUUAUUUUAUAUUUAUUUUAUUUUUGAAAUGGAGUCUUGCUCUGUUGCCCAGGCUGGAGUGCGGUGUUGCAAUCUUAGCUCACUGCAACCUCCGCCUCCCGGGUUCAAGUAAUUCUCCCACCUCAGCCUCCCGAGUAGCUGGGACUACAGGCAUGUGCCACCACGCCUGGCUAAUUUUUGUAUUUUUAGUAGAUAUAGGGUUUCACCAUGUUAGCCAGGCUGGUCUUGAACUUCUGACCUCAGGCAAUCUGCCUGCCUUGGCCUCCCAAAAUGCUGGGAUUACAGGCAUGAGCCACUGCACCCAGCCACCCCAGUUGGUUUCUAAUGUGUGCCCCAAAUCAAGUCCUGCAAUUAUCAAAUGGCAUUGGGCAUUUUCCUCCUUUACUGUCUUAGCCCUUCAGUGAGGUCUCCCAGCAAUGCCUAAUCACUGCCACUGCCCAAUGUGGAGGCACAGAUGUCCACGUCCAUGCAGCUGACCUCCCGCAGGAAAGGAGACUGCUGGUGGACCC
rnacentral:lncRNA from 1 species